GCGGGGUCCGGGGCUGUGGGGCGGGGCGGGCCCUCCCUGUAGUCAGGGCGAGGGUGCCGGCCCCCGGCCUUUGGCCGGCGUGCUCCCUGCCUGGCUGCUGCGAGUCAUUCCUGUGGCCCUGGGGGAAGGCUGAGCUCUCUGUCUGCCUGGGUGUCGUGGCCCUCCCUGUAGUCGGGGCGCGGGCCUGGAGCCCGCGUGCUCAGCUGGCAGCCGGUUUGGGGCGACCGCCCCGUUAGCGGGGCCCAGGUCAGAGUGCCCCUGCAUGGGAGAGAAGGAGCCUCCCUCCGCCGCGGGGCCCCGGGCUGCCCUGUAGCUCGGGGACUGGCCUGUGCCCUGGGGCCCCUGGCCUUAGGCAGUUGGGGCAGUGGCCCCGGCCCCCUGUAAGCAGGGCUGAAGCCUCCUGGGCCACCGCUCUCCAUGCCCAGCUCCAUUUGCCCAGAGUGCCCGCCUCUGACCCCCGCUGCAGCUUCAAUCAAGACCGCUGGACACCUCGUCAGCUGGAGGCCGUGCAGUGGGCAGCGGCUGCUGCUCACGGAGAAGCAAGAAGAGGAGUCGUGAGGAGCGGCGAGUCAAGAGUGAGCCUGAAGAGAGGAUGAGGAAGAUGGAAGAGAAAGCUCACGGAGAAGCAAGAAGAGGAGUCGUGAGGAGCGGCGGGUCAAGAGUGAGCCUGAAGAGAGGAUGAGGAAGAGAGAAGAGGAGGGAGGAGAAAGGCACUCUGGGCAAAGGGACCGCCCUGGCAGCAGGGCUGUGGUCACGUAAGAGCAUGGCUGGCACCUUUGGUGCCCUUGCUCCCUUUGCGCUGGGCGACCUCCCUGUAAGCAGGGCUCGGGUCUUUGCUGUUGUUGGCCUUUUGCCAUGUUGCUCCUUGGCUGCCUGGAGAGAGGGACGAGCCUGUAAGGAGGCUGCGAGUCCCUUUCUCCGCCCCUGGGGGGACAGGGAGCUCACCGGAACCCAGGCCCGCCCUGUAAGCAGGGCCGGGCUCUUUGCCCCCCGCGGCUUUCCGCCUGCCGGCCCCUGGCCGGCGCCACCCCCGCGCUCGGGGUGUGGGCCAGCAUUGGCCCUUUGGCGCCCCGUGAAGCCCCUUGGCAUGUUGAGUGCUCCGGCCUCCAUGCAGCCUGGGGGCAGGCCUGAGCCUCUCCUCCCGCUCCUGGGUACGGACCGGGCCCCCGACGUUGGCUGGCUGCCCUGGGCUCCCUUUCUCUCCUGGAAAGCCGUGUUACAUGUCUCCUGUCUGCUGUGCUUGUCCCUUCCCUCUUGUCCUCUGUCCUGUUGGGAGUGAGUGAGCUAGCGAGUGAGCUUGUCCUCUAGGCCUCUGUAAAAAGCGCUGCAGCGUAUUAGCUUUGGCUUCCCAGGCCUGAAAGAAGGGCUCUGGGCAGUAGCAGAGGGGUCCCGUCUCGGGCCCAGAUUUGAGGAGGGGGGAGAGUUCCGGCUUGCCCCUUCCUCCCCCGGGCAGAGCGGAGCCACUUGGUAAUGGUGUGGGCGAGGGGACCUGCCCGUAGUCGGGGCCCAGGUCUGUGCCCGCGUGGCCGCCUGUCCUGCUGGCCACGUGGCCAGCGUGGCGGCCCUGUAGUCGGGGCGUGCGUCACAAGCCGUGGAGCCCUGUGCGCCCGGAGCAGCUUGGCCUCCCUGUAAGCAGGGCGGAGGGGCCUGCCCUCCCGCGGCCUGCUGCUUUAGCCAGCCACCAGGAAUGACCCCUCCCCGGCCCGCUAAGGGGGCAGGCGGAGGAAGUGCCCUGCCGCAGGGCGCUGUGCGGCCUCCGGGCCGCUUCUUCUGGGGGCCGCCUGCCCGCAGCCGGGCUCGAGGUGCCCCCUGGGCUCCUGCAGACGUGCUGUUGUGCUGCAGCCGGGCUGGCCAGCCCGUAGGCCGGGCCUAGGCCAGAGCCUCCUGCCCCGUGGGGCUCGGGGCUAGUGCCAGCGCUGGGGGCAGCGCCCUGUAAGCAGGGCCGCGCACGUCCCCUGCGCUGUGCGGGAGGUGCUGGGAG